rnacentral:lncRNA from 1 species
AGGAGGCGGUGGUGGCGGUGGCCCACCACCUGGAGGCCGCGGAGGCCCACCACCAGGCGGAGGAGGAGGUGGUGGUGGACCACCACCAGGUAAAGGAGGUUUUGAGGAAGGCACAUUGGUAGUUUUACCACCAGAUGAUCUUGGAGGCGGUCGUGGAACUCUAGGAGGUCGUUUCUCAAUGUCCACAAGCUUCAUUUUGGUCACGGCUUGAGCGUUUUCGCUGGCUUUAGUUUCGUUACCAUUACCAUCGUUAGACUGAUCACUUGUGGUCACUCUCACUGAAGGAACCAAAACUGAUUUCUCCUUCAAUUGAGCAAGCUUGGGAGGCAAAGCCACAUUACCUCCAAAUCUCUCUGCUCUCGCUUGAUCAGCUUUAUGCUUAAUGUGCUUCUCUCUCUCAACCGCCAGCUUAUGCCUGUCUUUGUACGCUGGAUACUUCUCAUCCAAAACGUUAUCAACGGAUUUAGACAUCACUUGAAACGACGCUGCAACGGAAUUCAAAGGCUCACCGGGAGAAGAAGAAGCUUGUUGUUGUGUCCUGAUUCUUGGAAGAUUCGGAGUUUCAGGGGUACUUGGACUUUCUUGAUCCACUUUACCAAACGUUGUUAUGGCUACGGAUUCUCCUGCGUUUCUUAUCAUCAGAGACUCUAAAGGACCUCUCUGUUUAUUCAUGCUCACGCUAAGUCUUCCUGGUGAUCCACCAUAGAAUGAUCUUGAAGGUGAUGAUUGAACGCUAGAAUCGUCUUUGCUUUUGCCCCAUCUCUUAAGCUUCUGAAUCAGUCCUGGUUUCUUGCUAAAGCUACUGAAUCUACUUGUGGAACUGUCCAUUGAAGCGUUGUCGAAAUCAUCGCUUCCAGGAGAUGAAGGUUGAGAGAAGUUGCUCUCUACAUCGGUAUCUCCUUGGCCACGCUCAGAGCCAGCAUACUCUAGCAUCAACCGUUUAGCUUUGGCUUGGGAUUUGGGGCUUAGGUUCUUGCUUAAGUCACGAGCAGAGAUUUUACCAGCUGGUGUCUGGUAGUUUCUUAACUCAUACCGUAAACAAGCAUUGACCCAACGGAGAUAAACCAAUUCCUCAACUUCACUAAACCUAUUCAUCUGAAGCCCUUCCACUUGCUUUAACAAAUCCUCAUUGUUAUGCUUCAAAUUGUUUACCUCUUCUCUUACUUUCGCCACUUUAUCACUCUACCAAAAAUAAAAAAAGACAGAAACUUUUAAUCCAAAGAAAGAAAGAAAGAAACUUUGAUGCAAUGGAGUAAUCAUUACACUUUACCUCAGUCAUGUUUGAAAGAGCUGAAAUUCUUGCUUCUGCGGAAUCGAGUUUAAUGGUUAACUCUCUCUUUUCGUGUUGAAGCUCUCUGUUUUUUCUCUUGAGUUCCAUAACUUCCACUUCCAAUCCCUGUACAGCUUUUAGCUUCCUAUCCACUUCGCUGUCUUUAUUCAUCGCUUCUUCUUCUUUCAUUUGAAGACUCGAGACAUGCUGCUUAAGCAACAGUAACUGUCCUUUGGUCUGGUUAGCAUCGAGCUGGAUUUGCCUCUGCAACUCCUUAAUCUUGUUUCUCGCAACUUCAAGCUCCUUUCUCACAACACCGUUUUGCGUGAUCUCUUCUUGAAGCUUUUUCCUCUCGGCUUGCAGAGAAUUAAUAGUGAUGUUCAGCAUAUCAAUCUCAACAGUCUUGAUCUUAAGCUGUCUUUGUAACUCAACGAUAUCCGAUUCUUGCUCUUUGAGACCAUAAUACUCAAGCAAUUCUCCUUCGAGUUUCACUUCUCUUUCUUCUAGCUCCUUAACCAAUUGUCUCAGCCUCUCAAGCUCACUAUCGUUAUACGCCAUCUCAGUCUCGUAUUCCCUCUCUUUCUCUGCUUUCUCCAAGCUAUUAUCAUCACUAGGCAAUGGAUACUCAAUCUCACCAGAUAAAAGAUCUUCAAACUCGGGUAAAAUAUCAUCAUCAUCUAAAUAGUCCGAGAAACUACCACGAGUCUGAUUGAUUACACUGUUGAUCAGUUUCACCUCUUCUUCUUCUUCCUCCUCCUCUUCCACCUGCAAACAUUAUCCGAUUUGUCAACAAACAUAUCAAUUAAAAAAAAAACAAUUUUGCAGAGUACACUUACAUUCUUAUCAUUGAGAUUGUUGUUGGGACACACGGCCUGUUCUUUGUCGCCUCCUUUGCCAUUUUCUUAGAGCAAAAUGCAGAAAACAGAACAAAGUCAGAGUCCACAAAUGCAAUCAAAUAGAGAAUCUGAUGGUUUAAGAAAAGAAAAACUACCUGAUGGUUUGCUCGGUUUGGAGGGUUUACCGUUGAGCUGCUUAACAGCAAAUGCUGCAACGGAAGCAGCAACAACAAACCCUACCCGCACAAUCAUAUAUUAGAAUCUUGAAACUGUCUCAUCUACAGAAGCGAAAAGAAAACCUCCUCCAAAGUUUUAAUACCGGAUAAUUAACUCAAUCCAUCGUUCCCUCCAAGGAAAAAAACUUUAGUCCAAAUCCAGUUCAUGAACCUUAUAACAUAUGGAUAAACACAGACACUUGUUCCAGUAAGAGAAACUCCCAGAUACUGACAAAACUUUAAACAACUAUGUCCACCCAAGAAAAGAAAGAAAAAAGAAGACACUUAUCAUCAGAAAUUCGAUCUUAUCAGCUUUAUGGACCUCUCAAGUCUCUCAUGCAUCAAAAGCCAAAAAUUUUAGCAUUAAAUUAAAAUUUAACAACCAAUAAUAAUAAUGGCUGUAUUUAGCACAAGACAGAUGAGGAAAUAGACAUGUAUGGUAACAGAUGGGGUCUUAAAAAGCCAUGACCAAGAAGCGACAUACAUUUGUGAUAUCUAAGCAACCGUAAAAAAAAGCUCAAUAAUUUAUCCUUUUAUGUCCAUGUUGGUCAAAGCAGAAGAUUAUAUAUGUCUCUUGUGUCAAAGCAUUUUACCAAACUAGACGGUGAACUAAACACAGAAGAUGAUUAAAGAUAAGACAUUCAUUUGUCACGCCACCAAAUCCAGACCAAUCAACUCAAUACAAAGAUUAGUGAUCUCAAAUUGGUCCGCUCCACAAAAUCUUAUUAACAGGGAAAAAAUGUGAGACUUAGAUUCUGUAGUGAUGUUUUGGGGACCAGCAUCAAGUAGAGGUGUGUUGCCACGCUACGUAGCAGUAACCAAUUAUAAGAAAACAGAAAGGCUGAAAUUUAGUUACUAAUGCCAAUAUUUAUAGUUAAGUGGUAGAAAAUUCAGCCAAACGAGAAAAACAAGAAUGGCCUUUUCAUUAUCUUCUUAAAACCCCCUUUUUUUCUCAGCCUUAGAUUUUUCACAUGUUUUUGCCUUUUUAGCCACUAUCUUAAAAACAAAAGUUUUGUAUGUGUGAAUGAGAAGAGAUGACAGAAAUCAAGUUCUUAUAUAAGAUUGUAAGAAGAAUCUUACAUGAUAUGGUGUGGAAACUCAUAUUAGACCUUCACUAGAUUCUGAUUCUUUCUUUUUUACCAAUCUGCACAAAACAGUUAAAGAUUAGAAUGAAGAUAAAAUUUGAUUUAGACAUUUGCCAGUGAGGAUCAGGACAAGUGCUAUCUAUUCAGCAUUACCAAAUAUCUGUUUUAUUGUAUGGCAGAAGAAUUUUCUGGUGUCAACAGCUCACAAAGGAUACCUCUCUCAAAAAAAGACAAGAACAGCUUUAAUUGUUUCUUGUCUGGUGAAAAAAUUUGGAAUUCAUCAAAAGAUAAACUGAGAAUUGCGUAGAUAAAAGAGUUUGAGAAACUUUCUUUUCUAUAACAAAAAACGUAACUCUAAAUAUGACCCAGUACUGAUAUGACUGUAACUAUGAAAGCGAAAACCUAAAAACAAAAACUGAAUGUCUCAAGGAAGAAUAAGUGGAUUCAAUCAAACCAAUUACAAUUAGAUUCGAUUUUUGAGCAAACCCAGCUCGUGAAAUGGAAGAUUGAAAUCUUACCAAAUUUUGAAGUCAGCGAAGAAGAAAAGACCCGACUCACUUUCAGUUUCUUGAUGUUUCUUCUUGCGUUGCUGAUAAUGUCGAUUCUUGUUGCUGGGGCUUUGAUAUACUUGAAAAGAUUCCAUUCCAUUAACGAUUUUUGUAAAUUGCUGUUCAAAAAUUUGAAUUUUCACAGACUUGGGUUCUUUUGCUAAAGUGUGAGAAUAGUUUGUAAAUGAUUAGAUUCUAGAAACUAUUCUCACUUUUUCUUUUGAAACCAAGAUAGUAUUGUUCCAAUUGAAAUGAAGAUUUUGAAUUACAGAGAAUCAAUUAAAUUGUCAUUUCCCCAAAUAAACCAACAAAACCAAAGUAUCUGGCUUUUGGCUUGACUUCAGAUUUAAACACUCAUUUGACAAACAUUCAACAAAACAAUUUUGUACAAUCUCAAGAUUCAAACAGAAGGAUCACAAGUUUUUAAAGAACCGUGUCCUCCAUUGAUUCAAGAAUGGUCGUUCCAUUUCCAUCUUUUUCCCGCCUCUUCAAGAACCUUAGCUCUAGCUUGGCUUGCCUUAGCUUCAUCCUCUACCCAAGUUCUGCAUUUCAACCACCUCAUUAUAUAUAAACAACAUUUGUAAAUAGAUCAUAACUGGUUAAAAGCUUUUCCAAAGAUCAAAACUUUACAAACUGGGUCGUUUGAGUUAUUACUAUAAUAACCAUUACCUGAGAAUCCGAAGAGCUUCGACUUCAGCUUCGAGGAUAGAUCUUUUGUCAAGCAGCGAUUCAAGCUUCGACUGUAAAUCACUCAUCAUCUCUUGUAACUUGCUGUGCUCAACCAGAUAAACAGAUUUAUCAGUAGUUAGCCUUUGAGACAUCUCGUCGAUAUCAUCUCUCAAGCUACGAAGCAACUGUUUCUGACAAUCUAUGGCUGCUUUUUCUUUUAAACGCUCGGCAAACCACUUCAGCUGAGCAGUUUUCUCUUCUUCUAAUUCAUUGACACUGGAGAGAUACAGCUCUUCCAUCUCAACUCUUCGGGAUCUCUCUACCUGAAGCUUCUCAUCCCAAAACUGCCUUAUUUCGCCUUUCUCUACCAACUCGGAUCUGAUUUCUUCCAUCUCAGCUUUCCGCGAGAGGAACUCUGCUUCUAACCUUGAUAGCUCAGCUGAAACAGCUUUCGCCAUUUUACCGCUUGUUAAUGCUACAGCCGCUUGUGCUUUUGUCACAGGUCUAUUUGGCUGAAACCUCUUGAUCCUACCUGUAUAUUUUAAAUGAAAAGAAAACUCAGUUUACUUCAAAAACUUUGAAUAAUGCCAUUCAAUAUAACUGAGAGGUAGACGAAUGAUACCAAAAACGUUUCUGAUAGUACUCUUGUCGCCGGUCAAGGAGUCCAAGAAGAAUCCGAGUGCUAUAUCGGGAUUGAUAUUCUUCAUAUCUAUAUAGUCUACCUUUGUCCUUGAUAUCUGGACUGUAAACAAGUCAGGUUUUUAAAAUAACUGACAAAAGCAUCACCAUUAUGCUCAAGUGUUAUAAACUUUUAUCACACCUCUUCCAUAACUUCUGGGAGGAAAUCACACUCCAAUUGAGCUUUCCAGUUUACCAAGUCGAGUCUGGAAACAAAACUGCAGUCACCAUAUAUGUAUAACACAAUUAGCAAUCAACGAAUAAAGAAACAAACACAAUAACAGAUGAAGAAAUCUUAAGCCCAUUAUACCUUUCAGGAUUAAAAUUAAUGUUUCCAGUGUCAUGUCGAGAAUCUUCCCCGGAUAGCUUGCUGAAAGUAAUGCCUGCCUCUGCCAAUGCUGAAUGGCAAAUAAAAAGAAAAACAAAAAAAUCAAUAACAGAAACGUAAGUUCGAUAGACACAAAAUAGAAAUAUCUUUAUCGAUUAUACCUUGUAUGUACUCGAAGUCAGGGUCUGUAGUAUUCACAUCUUCAAAUGCAGGUACUGAAGAGCCAGCUAAAGCUACCGCUGGCACAAUCCUGUGCUUUGGAUUUCUAAUGGCAACAAAAAAAACCAUAUAUUUAUCACUCGUUUGCCACAAACACUAAGACUUUUAUCAUAUCCGGAAAAAUUGUUUACUCCAAUCAUUACCUCUCUAAUAACAAAUUCGAACGAACUAGCCAUCUAGAAUACUCUCGUCUGGUACACAACUCGUCUCCCAUUACAUCGUCUUCAAUUAUCUGAACAACUUAAUUACAAGUGACAUGUUCAUGAUCAGAGCUGGACAUAAGGUUCAAAUAAUGCAUAAAUUCAAGUUGUUGUCUGAGAGAAAGUUUCUCGAAAUAAACCUUUAGUUUCUUUAAAACUGCUAUUGCUUCUUGUUGAGCAGCAUCCACGGGAACUGGAGCGGUGAUAUGGUGAGCUUUUACGGUUGAUGCUAAAGUAAACAGGGGAAACACGAAUUAAGACUUGUUUCAAAGCAAUUAUAGCAACAAGCUAUGUAUUCUUCAAAACAAAUAUUGACCAAAAAUAAGAACGUACGAGGGUCAACAGUAUCUGAAGCAUCGUCAACACUUUCGGAGAUUGCCUCAGAAGCAGAAUUCUUCUCAUCGGUCAAGAGCGAGGUCGUUCUUUCACUCUCUUCAUUCUCAUUCUGAUCCAAAUCCACAUAAUGCAGUGGAUUACUAAAGCAUAACCUAAACCCUGUCAAAGAUACACAAAACCCUGAAUCUCAGAUUAAACCAUCAAAUAGAAUUUAUAUCACCCAGGAUGAAACAAAAAUAGAGUUGAGAAAUUGUUUUGACCUUUUCUCGAGAUUGAGAAGUAAGCUAUAGUAGCUAACAGAACGGCAAGUGACGAUCCAACACCAGUGAUUACAACAUUCCGCCACUCUAAACCCAGAAAAAAAAAAAUCAAAAUUUUCAAUCAAUUUGCAACACGAAGGUAAGAAAUUCUUCAAUUCGCUCACUAGACUAGAAGAACCCAUUAUGUGGAAAACGAGAAAGACACUAACUUUUUUUACUUUUCCAAUGAGGAAGAGGAGCUUCAUCUUCAAUAAGAGCCCAACCACCAUAUUUGUCUUUGGAAGCUUGAGAGACCCAUGAGGUACCGGAGAGAGACGCCACGACGCGUAAUCUCGGCGGUUUGUGAGUGGGAACGAAUAAUGGGAGAGUGAAACGAUGCCUUACAAGUAAAGGAGCGAAUUUUGGGAAGAUGAACGAUGAAUUUGGUGACUUUCUAAUCGAAAAAGAGCACAUUUCCCAAGUUAGGGUUUUUCUUUUUCUAUUUCUUUUCUGGGUGGAUGCUUCAAUUCGAAGAAGUAGCGAGAAAAGAUGGGAAAGAGAUGCUCCUGUGAUGUGAUAGUGCGAGUACAGUGCCUAACCUUCUGAAUCUCUCCGAGGGUUUAGUUUGCGUUUAUUUUCCGGUAUAGCUUUAACCGUCUCGGUUAAAUCAUUAUGCUCCUAAAUACGUGAGGUUGGCGGUUUGCCAUGCCAUGCCAUUGCCAAGGGUUUAAUUUGUGAAGUUUGUGAAAGAAACACGAGUAUGUCAUUGCUCCUAAUCAUUAUGCUUCAGAGGAUUAUUGAGAUAAAAAAGUAAGGAACACGAGUAUGUAAUAGCUAAAGUUUUAAAAGAAGAAUUUGGAGUCAUCCAUUUGUAAAAAUGAUUAGUCAAAUUAUUUUACUCUGGAACUCUUUUUAUUAAAAAAACCUCUCAUUACAAUCACAUAUAGUAUAUCCAACAUAUAAGAGCUACAAUGAUGUAAUGAUCGGUUCUCUCUGUGUUUUUUUUUUCUCACUUUUUAAACCAUGUGUUUCAUAUUCUUCUUUUACUUGCCCAAUUUUUUAAGUCACAACUCUUUUUAAAAUUCCAAUUUAACAUAUGUCUCUCAAUUAAAGGUAAAUGCUUCUGCAAUUCAAGUCAAAGUACCUCUCUCUAAUCAAUAUGCUAUCAGGAUUUAAAAGUUUUUAUAAGCUAAUCGUGCUUCCAAUACCAAGACAUUGCGCUUUUCCAAAAUUUUACAAUGAGAAUUCUUUUUGUGGUUCAAUAUUUAUAGUUUAGUAUAUUGAAAACAACAACAAUGAUUAAGUAAGACAGUGUUAAGCAAAUUUUCCUUAGUGACAAUCAAAUCCCUUAAUAAACUUUAGAUUAAUUCACUAUACAGAGACCAAAUUUGGAAGAAAAAGGGGACAAGUGCACUCUCACGCGGACGAGGAGGAGACUAAGGACAAGAUGAGAUAUGGAGAGUUUAGGGAUUGAUAUAGGAGGAGAGUAUGGUUUAUUUUUCAGAGCAUCAGUUUUGUAAUAGAUGUGUUAAAGGCACAAAUAAAUAAAUGGUAACAAGGUGAUGCUCUAAAAAAUAAACCAUAAUAACAAGGUGAAUAGCUGUAAGAAAGCAAAAUAAAAAUAAAAUAAUACUCUUGUUAAUAAUGAAUAGGCUUUAAAUUCAAUGGCUGCCUUGAUCUAUGUGCUUCUGCAUCCUACUUUCCACAUUAACCCUCUUCCCUUUUUCAUCUUGACAUAUCUAAGUAUUUUUCAAAAGAGAAGAAGAAGAAGUUAAUACGUGUGUGUAUAGGUUAUGGGAACAAAGGCCACAUUUACUUUCUUAUGUGACAGAGACAACAACAUAUAACCAAAUGUCUUUCUCGUUACAGUCCCUCGAUUUAUUUUCCUUUCUUUUUAUUUAUUUAUUCUUCUUUCUUUCUUGUAACGUUUGCUGCUUUGAGCUAUAAUGAGAAACCCAUUGACCCCCAACGACCUCUCGCUCUCUCUUCAAUAAAUAAUAAUCCCAUAAGAUAAAGAAACCCAGAGAUAACCCCCAAAAGAAUUUACACAGCAAAAUCACAAGCUCUUCAGUUUUAUCCUUAUUUCCUCUGUUUUCCGCCCACAAUGUCUUGGAUUCACUCUAUGUUUUUCCUAUUUCUCGUUUUCCGGUGGUGCAUCGCCGGAGAAUCAUCAUCGCCUGAGGUAACUGACGAUGGAGCUCCCAUGGAGAAAUCAGAGAGAGAAGCUCUUUACUCAGCGAUCCAAGGAUUUUCUGGUGAUUCUUGGAAUGGCUCUGAUCUUUAUCCUGACCCCUGUGGUUGGACUCCUAUUCAGGUUUUGUUUGCUUUCUUGUCAUUUUAUUUUUAUUUUUAUGGAAAACUUCUCUCGUAUAAACUUUGAUUUCUGGUUGAAACCAUGUUAUACUUUUGUAAUUUGGGUCCAAAAAAAACAUAUUGUUUUAUUGUAUUUUGUUGAAGAUACUUGGAAAGAAUUUGUUCUGUAGUUGUCUGAAUAAUUCUGUUUUAAAUUGUCUGUUCACUUUGAAAAUUCCAUAACCAGUAACUGAAACUUUAUAGCUUCAACGCAUCAAAGUGCAUAUCCGUUUACGUAUAAGAUCUAAUUUUUGUUUCUUUAAAUGUAUUCCAAUAUGGUUGGCUUCAAUUAUAUAUAUAUACACAUUUGGCCGGUUGUCCCUACCAACAAAUUCCUUCUUUAUUCUUUCAAUAAUUUGGAACUUUUAUUCUUUGUUUUUUUGUUUGGAUUUUCAGGGUGUUUCUUGUGAUCUCUAUGAUGACUUGUGGUAUGUCACGGAUCUAACCUUAGGUCUUAUUCACGAAAACUCGAUUUCUUGCACCGCAAGUUUGAAGAUAAAGCAGCAGUUAUUCGAGCUCAAGCACUUGAAAUCACUCUCGUUCUUCAACUGCUUCACGUCGCCGAUAACAAUUUCUAAAGAGGAUUGGACAAGCUUGGGAAGUAACUUAGAAUCUCUCGAGUUCAGAUCCAAUCCCGGUUUAAUAGGGGAACUUCCUGAAACAAUCGGAAGUCUCACAAAGCUGAAAUCUUUGGUGGUUCUUGAAAAUGGGUUCAAUGGAAAAUUACCGAGGAGUGUCUGCAAUUUAUCGAGCUUAAAACGGUUGGUUCUGGCGGGAAACUUGUUCACCGGAACGAUUCCAGAUUGUUUCAAUGCGUUUAAAGAUCUAUUGAUCUUGGAUUUGAGUCAAAACUCUUUCUCAGGGACAUUGCCUUCAUCUAUCGGAGAGACAGUUUCAUUGCUUAAGCUAGACGUAAGCAACAACCAAUUAGAAGGGAAGUUACCGCAAGAAAUCGGGUUUUUGAAGAAUCUGACACUUUUGGAUCUGAGGAACAACAGAAUCUCUGGUGGGUUAUCUCAAAACGUCGAAAAGAUUCGAUCUUUAGCGGAUCUGAUUUUAUCAGGAAACCCAAUGGAUAGCGAUGACGUGAUGGGGAUAAAGUGGGAGAAAAUGAGCAAUUUAGUCAUUUUGGAUCUUUCAAAGAUGGGUUUAAGAGGUGAGAUUCCUUCUGGUUUAACCAAGUUGAAAAGAUUGAGGUUUCUUGGUCUGAACGACAACGAGUUAACCGGCACAGUCCCAUCAAAAGAGCUUGAGACUUUGCCUUGUCUUGGUGCUCUCUACAUCAAUGGAAACAAUCUAACAGGAGAGCUUAGAUUCUCAAGAACGUUCUAUGAGAAGAUGGGAACAAGAUUUAAGGCUUCAAAGAAUCCGAAUCUUUGUCAGUAUGAUAUCGUUUCAGAAUCUCGGCAUUAUGUUCCUCCACUUGGAUUGAAGCCUUGCCAGAUGAAGAAAACAGAGGGUAAUUUGGUAAUUCUACAAACGUUGAGCAACCUUAAGAAGAAUGAUGAGUCAAGUUCAUCAAUGGCUCUGAUGGUUACAAGACAUGUGUUGUCAAAUGGGUUCAUGUGGGAUUUGCUUUUGGAGCUUUCUCUUAUUGUAUUAUUGAAAUAAUUUAUAAUUUUUUUGUUUGUUUGAUGGUUAAUAGUAUCGAUGUGUUAGUUGAUAGAUUUUGAUGUCGGUUACUUAAGAGAAGAAAAUCAAAUCCUUAUGGAUGUAACAAGUCUGAUUUCUUCUCUCUCUGUCAUAAUUUAAACAAUUUGUAUAUGUUUGUUAGGUUAUUCCUUCUUAAAACUAAAAAUCUCGGAUAUUUUCAAUUUAACAAGCUCUACAAGGUUUUUUAAUAUAAGUUUCGGAUUAAACGAUUGGUACUUGUGACCAUAAAUGUUAAAUGCUUUAAAUUGAACCUGCAAAGCAUAUAUCCAAAGAUAGCUAACUUUGGUGUCUCAGGACUCUAUCGCUGGCUUUAAACAGACAAUACAAAACAAACCAAACAAAGCCUUGUAUUGCCUGGAAUUUUCUGACUUCGUAAAGAGGGAGAUUUAAUGACUAUUUGUGAAAUUUUGUUAUUACUUUAUGAAAUUUAAAAGUAGAUACUGAUGAGUGUCAAUUAAAGAUGAGACAGUUAGGGGUUUUUAGUAUAGACUGAAAAUCUUCUUUUACUUUUUACUUUUUUUUUUUUAAGUAGGCAAUAAGCUUUUUACGAUCAUUUAUAGCUUUCCUUUUCUUUCGUAGCCUCUGUGUCAUAACUGCUUAAGUUAUUAUUUGUUCAUAGGUGGCGGCUAGUGUACUUUUCUCACUAUUUAGUAGUAUUUACUAUAACUCAAAGAUGAAGAUAAUUAUUUGGUUGUUUAUACUCCAUUGCAAGUGCAACUACUAAGUAACGAGCAAAUUGGUUGUUUAAUGAAAUAUUUCGUAAUAACAAAAAAAAAUCUGCUUAAUACUUCAUAAAUUGACUACUCUUGAAUACUCCUUAUCAUUCCACAUGCUAUGAAUCAAAACCAAGAUUAAUUUAUAGUAAAUUUCAAUCAAAACUAUUAAUCCAAAUAGGUUCUUUUUUUGUUCUCCACCAUACAUUAAUCCAAUAUGUACGUGUUCUUGGAAAGUAGAAUUAAAGUCAAUGAUGAUAGUUCCCUUUUACUUAAAUGAUUCUUACGAGUUACAAUGAGCCGUACGGAUAAAUAGUAAAGUUAUAAAUGAGUCUGAUUUCUCUUUUAUUUACAAUUAUGUAACUCAUCUUCUUGAUCUGGCCAUGAAUUUAAUGCUCACGUCCUUAUUUUCUUGGCUUGUUCAUACUGUAGUUAAUAAACUUAGUUUACGUACUGAGUUAUGGAACAACUUUUUUUUUUGUUUUUGUUAGAUAACUGUGGAACAAUUAUCGUCUUGAUUUGAUUGAUAUUGUUGGUUGGAGAUUGGAGAUACUAAUUUUGCAAAUAAUAGUAUGCACUGCAGCUCUUUUGUUCAGUGUCAUAAUAACAUGUCUAAUAACUCAAGUCACAAAGGAAAAGGUCCGACAGGACUAUUAACAUAAUAAUAUGAUAUUUUUCUAAUUAGUUAGUUGGUCAAAAUUUUAAAUUAUUUUAAAUAUUUACGUUAUACAUUAAUAAGAUACAGAAGUUAUGAUUUUUGAGAGCAAUGUAAAUAAUAUCACUCCGGAAACCUAAAUACGUAAUAAGUGUACUGACUAUAUAUCAUUUGCUGGGCUUUGCUAGGCUUUAAUAAAUAAUGCUCGUUUAGUUUCGGCCCAAUUAUAGUAAAUCCUCUCUCCUUCAUUUUUUGAACAGAUAGUCUUAUCAACUUUCUUGCUCCGUCUCUCACUCUCUCCCCAAAACCCAAACAGCACAUUCUAAUAGCAUAGUUUAUGUAACUACUAUUUAAGAUGGUAUGCUAAUUUAGAUUUACUAACCGAAAAACCAAAAAAAAUGAUUUUUCGAGCCUAAUUCACAAUUUCUCCUAAAACCAAUAAUAAAAACUCAGUAACCCCAUCAUUUGAAGCAAAAACUCCCAAAAUCACAAAAAACUUGUUCUUAAUCUAAUCUUUAGAUUAAGCAAAGAGUGUAUAUAACAAACCUCAUCAAAGACAGCACCGAUCAUUUGAAGACCAACGAGUAGACCCGAGGGACCUCCUUCGACUAAUCCACAAGGUAAUACAAUCGCAGGAUGCCCCGCGAGAUUCACAUUGACCUGCAACAAUCUCACAUUGGACGUAUUUUAUGUAGCCUAAACGUGAAAAGCAUGAAGGUCCUUUUUUUGUGCGUUUACUUUCAUGCUUUGUUAGGUGAAGGGAAUUAAUUUGUAAUUUAACCUUCUAUAUAAUUUUUUAAUACAAAUGUAGGUGCUUAGUAUAUUAAAUCAUCUUAUAUUUUAUGUUCUUGCAAUUGCAUUCAUGCACUAUUUCCAUGUCCUAUGAAUAACACGGUUGUAUCAUUAAUCAUUAACACCACCUUGUUUCAUAUAAUAUGAUGUUUGAAAUCAUGUACAAUUAUUACGAAUAUUUGUAAAAUCAUCAACUAUCUCUCCUGAUACAAAGGUUAAGACAAAAAAUAAGGAAAAUUGAUUGAUUUCUGUCUUCUUAUUCUUAAAAGUCAGAACAUUUUUAUAUAACAAUAAAAUGGUAAAACAUCUCAUGAACCAAAUGGAGUAUACAAUAUGACGUUUCUGUUAGUGAUAAAUCUGAAGUAAACCGUACGAAAAAGGAAAAAAAUGUCCUCCACAGGUACCAACACGUAUCUUAAUAAAGAGCCACAAGCAUUACAAGCUCAAAUUAAUAAAUUAUUGGUACUUAAAAAGAUUAAAUAAAAUGAAACUACCUGGAGAUGGAGUAUAAGUAUAGAUCACUUUGUUUUUUCUAGAAUAUUUCAGACGAAAUCAUGUGCUAACCCAUAAUUAUGCAAACAUAUUAGUAUCCUGUAAUCUAGUGGUCCAUGCGAAUAUCUGUCUCCGGUGGAGGAUCAAAAUCCAACGGCUCAAAAUCACGCGUGUGCAAUGUUUGACAUUUCGUCUACUGCAUGAAAGUCGCCACCUGGCACAUGCAAAUAAUAGUAUAUCUUUUGGUCACUAAAAUGAAUUAUGCAGAUGAUUUUCCUUGGACGAUAUGUUUAGUUGUUGUAACAGAACAAAGUUAUGAGUUAAUAAAUCAUCUAAAUAUUAGUUGCCAUAAAUAAUUUUUAGAAGAAUUAAUAACUAUUUGUUAUGAUGGAUUAAUUGUUUGGUGACCCCAAAUAACGGAACUGAUUUUCCAACCCCUUUUUUAUAACCAUUUGUGUGAGUGUGCAACUGUGCAUGUGACCUAGUAAGUCACCUAUGAUGAUGAAGAUGAACUCUUUGUUUUUGUGAUAAACUUAUAUUAUUUACGCAAGCGAUCAUGUAAACAAAGGUUGUAUAAAAAUAAAGAUAGUAAGAUAGAAUUACUUUUCGUUCACAUCGAAGACGCAAAGAAUCAUUUGAAUUCGCGCCUAAACUUUUGAUUAUCCAUUAACAUCAAUGAUACACAAUCACGUAUUAUUUUGGUGCUCACAUAAUGUAGAUAUUAAUAUAUAUAUAUAUAUAUAUAUUAGUAUAAUAUAUACAAAGCGUACAUAACUAUAUGAUUUUUCUUUAUUUUACCAAAAAAAAACUAUAUGAUUUUUUUUGAAAAAUGUGAUUUAUACAUAUGAAUAUAUAUAAUGUUAACUUUCAUAUACUACAAAUGGUUAGUAGUUUAAUUUUACAGACAACUUGAGGUAAUCACAUACACCAUCCUCCCCACGUAUAGUCGAACUCGGCAUUUCAAGCUUAGUAAAUAUUAUAAUUUUUUUUUUUGUUUUGUUCACUUUCGUUGACCCUAAAAAAUUUUCAAAAUAUUCUAAAACUCCAUGGCUUGCGCGUCACUUCUCCAUUUUCUUUGCUUUUCUUGUUUGACCGAUUUACACAUACAAUUGUGCACACCUACAUAUAUGAUAUAUUUUAUACUGCACACAAUAUAUGUAUAUAGCCAUAUAGGUAUAUAUUGUACAUAUAUCCGCUCAAAUCUUAAACCUUCUAAGAGUCCAAAUUCUAUAUAAAACCCUAGCUAGUGGCUAUAAAUCGCUGUCUCCUCCUCCUUCUUCCCUCUUCUUCUUUCUCCGAAAUAUUAUAUGAAUCUUUCUCACAAAACCAUGUUUAUGACUGUUUAUUUCCUCAUGUUCCUCUUGGUUUUUAGUUCCUGCAACGCCGCAGCGAAGAUGGGACCAAUUAAGGUUUCUGAAAUAAAAAUAGUUCAAACAAGAUCAAGGCCAUCAAGACAUGAGUUCAUGGAGGGUUUUAGAUUCAAAGGUCGUGUGUUCCACUUUUGGUCUAAACGGGUACUUGUACCACCUUCAGGACCUUCCAAGAGGCACAAUUCUGUGGUGAACAAUCUCAAAAACUAAUUGGUUUCCUUUUUGUUUUUCUUUUUAAAAAAUUUUUGUUAAUUGAUUUUUUUGACAGCCAUAAAAAAUAUAUUUAAAGAUUCCUGAAAUUUUAUUUGAUGACCCUUUUAAUUUAUGUUUUUUUUUUCUUAUUAUAUAUUUCAUUCACAUUUGUAAUAUCUCGUUUGGAAAGGAUACGUAUAUAGUAUAUACAUCUCCUUUUCCCGCACCAUUGUAUUUGUAUAUGUAUCUCUUUUAUAUAUAUCAUAACUCUUUGUAAAUAAUAGGAUUAUCAAAAUGGAUGGACUAAUCUAACUUCCGGAUUAGAGUUUUUAAUGAAUAGAUAUUUUGUGAUUAUAUAUUAAGUGAUUUAACUCUUAGCCAUCAAACUCACGGUUUGAUCUUAUAUUUAAAAUAAACACAUUGGUUUUCAAGGAAUAACUCAAAAAGAAUGUCUAAUGUAUUUAAUGUUUGAACGUUUAGCCUUAAUUUAACUUAAUGGUAGUUUUGAACUCUAUAAUGGAUAAGCUCAAGAAAGGCAUGAAAACUAAUUCACGAAACUCGUAUAAUUAUGAAAGUGGUUAUACAAUGCUAAUAAACAGCUACGCUACGCCAACGCAACCAGCGAUUUAUUACACCUCUGAAUAAGUUAUCUAAGGGCGUUAAUGAAAGUUUAUGUCAUCCCAAUUUUCUGGUCCAGGAAACUUUCCAGCUUGUAGACCCUCAUCACAUCUUUCGGACUUUUACAUAUUUUCUUAGACGGUUUGAAGUUGUGUGCUUAUGUGAGCCUUAAUUGGAACCAAAGAAUGAUUGUAAUUUGUACUCACUAGGACCUUCGAAAUUGACCGAUUAAGCUCGAAAGUUAAGAACACCACGAAUUACAACGAGUUCAGGAUUCAAACUCUUGAGUCCUUAUGUUUCACCGGUAAAAAUGUCCCUUCUAUUUUAAGUUUAUUACAGAGUGAAUAACAAGCCUGAAGCAAGUGCAAGACCAUGAUUUGAAGUACCUGUAAUAUCUACUCAAAACUUUCCAGCCUUUCAAACAAGUUUUUUUAAAGAAGUUUUUUUGGGUUAGUAAUAAAUUUACAUUUUACAAACGUUUGCAUUAUGAUGAUCCAGUAUUGACAUAUGUGAAAAGAAACAGGGAUUUCAUUAAAAACAUUGCAUCUAAAUAACAAUUUUCCAUAGUUGAUAUUACAUCAUUUAAACAAAAACCCAAAAUCAAAACACAUACUUAAAUUUCUUGGUCCAAAUAUUACCUUGUUUAAUCAUACUAAUAUAUGUUUCCCUUUAAACCCUUAGAAAAUACACACUAAGCUCAGGCCCACCACUAGACCCAUCAGGAUUCAUCAUGUAAAAGGCCUCCGAAUCUCUGGACCCGAUAACCCGCUCGAACCGGGCUCUCAUAUACAUGAGCUCGCCUUUCUCGGACCCCACCGCUUCAUUCCCAUCUUCCGCCACCGUCGCCGUCGCCGCCGGCAAAACUCCGGCACCCAUCGUAAUGGGUCCCACAGCCUUCAAAACUCUCCACUCCGCCUCUCCACACUCUUUCUUCGCCGCGUAGCCGCAUUUUUUGCCGUUGCAAUAGGUACGCCACGUGGACUCUUCAAGAAGCUUCUUUGAACCCGUCUUAAACGCUGCCGUUUCGAGCGCGAUUCUCACGAGCCCCGAAGCCAUUUCCUUGACGAGAACGCUCGUUGGAGUCGGUAACUGGAUCAAAACCGCGGGUAAACGGGUCGGAUCAUCCUGUACGGCGAAAUACACGUGUCCACGACGGUUUCCGAAUAACGUACCCACUACCCGGAAACCCAGACCCGAAUUUGAGAACCCAAGCGCAUAACGGAUCCUCUCGAUGGUUUUUUUCUUCUUCUUCUUCGUUAUUUGUUGAGUAUCGAAUUGAUCCGGUCGGGUCGGGUCGGAGGAAAAGUUGAAACGGGUCAAGAUCUUUUGUUCGUUGUUGAUGAGAUCGUCGUCUUCUUCUUCUUCUUCCUCGUCGUCUUCUUCUUGAACCUUCUUCUUCUUCCAGUUGAAGUAACGUUUAGAGAGAGAGAAUGAAGAGUCGAGAGAAGUGGUGGAUAAAAUUGAUUUCAUUUUUUUAUGAUCUUUCUAAUGAAACUGAGCUUCAAGUUGAAGUUUUGGAGUGUACCUCUAGUGCUCUCUUAUAUUGGUCUUUAAUGGAAUUUUUUAAUGUUUGUGGGGAUUGAUUUGAUUUACACUAAUUUAAUUUUUAAUUACAUCUUUUUAUAAAAAGAUGAUAUUUGACCUUUUGUAUGAUUUUAUUAGUCUGUCAUUUCGACUGUUUCUUCAGUUUUAAAAUAUCUUGACUAAUUUCACGUAUGAGUAUUUUGAUAUAUUUGUAUAUCGUGAUUUCAGUAUAAUAAUAUCACGUAUGAUUCCUUAUUCAAAUGUUAAGACUUGAAUUUUGACUUCAAAUUACAGCGAUAAAUGUGAGAAAUUCAUUUUCAUUAAUAAAUCUGUGUAUAAAUUGUGACAUGGGAGAAAAGAUACGGCACUUGACUAUAUGAACCGUCCAAAUUCAGUUAGAAGCUUAGAUAGUAACCAAACUAAAGUUAAUUGGUCCGGUCUUCUUGGACUUUACUAAUUUAUAGAUUAUCGUAAGCUGGAAUUAGAAUUUAGAAGUAUUGGUCUGUAGGUCUAGGCAAAAUAAUCCGUCGAUCAAUUAUAUAAAAAAUUAAGGGAUGUGAGAGAUUUUCUUCAGCUAAAACUUAAAAGAGAAAGAUGGAUGUGAAAGAAGAUAGACGUAAGAAAAAAAGGAAGAGGUGAGAGACUAGAGAGGAAGGUGAGCAGCCACCACCUAACCCUAGAUUAAGGGACUGUCUUCAUUGGGACUCAUGAAUAAGACAUAUCACACACCAAAUCGGCAUUUACAUUUUGUCUUUUUACACACACACAUGACACAUAUAUCUUCUUUUUGACAUCUGUAUUUUACACACACAUAUUAUUAUUGUUAUUCAAAAUCACUUAAAAUCUAACGAAAUAGUUCCUUUAUUUUAGAGAUAAAAUAGAGAAAUACAUUAGAAAUGCUUUUAGGAGUUCACAAUAUAUACCGAUCAUUCAUAUGGUAAUUUAUCCACAACUAAAAUACUAGUUCCAAAUGCUACUAUAUAUAUUAUAUAGUUGGUAUUUCGAAUCAUUUAUUGUUGGUAUAUCGAAUCCUAACUAACAUAAACAUAUAUAAAGUAUUAGUUUGGUUGGAUUUUUUAUAAUUUUGUUUUAUCUAAAUGACUGUAAUGAAAGUUAAAACUUAUUACGUUCAUAAAACUACAACAUCAAAAACGUACCUCCCCCUCCCCCAAAACAUUUCAAACAGAAGUCGAGAUUUCUCACAAUCAAAAGUCGAUUACAGCAAAUAGGUAGGUAUUUAUUAGUAUAUGUUAACAUAUAGAUUUAAGGAGACAAGAAGGUGUGCGAUGGAACUCAAUCAAUGUCUCGUCAAUAGUGGGGGCUACAGAGUUGACAAUUUACUUAGUCUACCCAUUUUCACUCGAACACGUAUUAAUUUGUUUAUACAAUCUUACCGAAAACGCAAUGUUUCUUGUUAUAGUAAUAUUUGAGGUCUCCAAGAAGAGAAACCCUGUCUUUUAUAGAUACAUGAACAAGUGUUUAAAUUAUAUAUUGAAGUCUGAUUGUUCUUAUUCACUGUGUUGGAUGUGAACUCAAUAUCCAUACGAAGUUUUUUGUAUUUUGUGAUUUAUGUAACAAUACUCCCUCUAAUAGACGGGUUAUUUAGCAAUGAAUUACUUUAUGUGCUUAUAGACAUCUGACUCUUUUUGUAUAGGUUAAAUGUUGAUCACCAAAUUUGUAUUAUUUUUCCACUUUUAAAUGAAAACCAGAGAUUUUAUUUACAAAAUUUAUACAAAUUCAUCAUUGUCACAUCACGGGAAAAAUAAGAUGGGACAAAUUACGGUAACAUCGAACCAAUCAAACGUUGUCUGUGUUGUUUUUUUCCACACACCUACACUGCACCAACAAGCCUGCUUUUCUUUUCUUUUUCUCUUAAUUUCUUUACAUUAUAAACCCUAUUUAACAAUUUUUGUUUAUUUAACAAUUUUUGUUUAUUUAACAAUUUCUUUACACGCCUUAUUCAUAAUUUUAUCAAAUUUAACGUUCAAAAUUCUUGACUUUGUGAGGAUGAUAGGCUGGAAUUUGGUGUACCAUUUUUCAUUUGGUGUCAAAAAGGACUAGUAGGAAAGCAUGCGCACUUAUCUUAUAUAUCCUAUGAUACAAAGCUUAUAGCCUUUUUUUCUGAUGCAACUAGAUUUUGUGAUCACUUAAAAUAUGGGAACAUUAUAAUAAAUAGUUGACAUUGAUUUUUCCCGGACUUAGCUAUAAGUCUAUGACUACCGUAAGGAUUAAGUAUUUUUUUUUUCUUCGCACCAAAAGGUAAGUUUAUGUAUUUAAAUAUUGUUAUCUACUGUAUUUCAAUAAAAGAGAUAUAAUGUAUUUUGAUUUAUUUUACGCCUUUAUAUUUUUUAUUUUUAUUUACUAUGGUUUUAAUUGGUAACUUUGGUUAAAGGUUCAAUCGCUCAUCUGGUUACUAAUCGUACAGAAGGAUGAAACUGAUUUUUCAAAUACAGUGGAAGGAACGAUUUGAUUAUUGAAGCUCAAACAAGGCAGUUAAUUUCUACUUAAUCUCUUACAUUAAAUGCGUAAUUUAAAGUUUUUAUCCAGCAAUUCAGUAAGAGAUUGGUACACUGUUUUAAACUUUUACUGUCAAUUGAAGACAACAAUAGCUGGCCGGCCAGCUCUGCCGUCCACAGCUCCACAGCAUUAUACUCUAUAAGUGUCAUUUCAAUAAAAUUGGUAAUCUAAAGUUAAGUUGGAAAAUAGUACAUAAAUAAUGUUUUUAUACUUUAACUAUUGGUUAUUGUUUUUCUUGUUACAUCUAAUUCUGAAAAAUGUGACGGACCAAACAUCUUAAAGCAACCAACUAAUUGUACUAGUGCAUACAAAACUAACCAAAUACGACUUUUAUGAAAACACAUCAAAAAUGUAAGUCAAUUAGUUGGUUGCUUUUUGAUGUUUGGUAAAUCAAUAUAAACAAAGUAAUUUUACCAGUUGGUUUACUUACCGGUUCUCUAGACAACUAGAAAAAGUAAAAUGUAAUUUAAGAAAAAAAAACAUGAUUGGGGAUCCUUGAAUGUUCGUUAGAUUUGUUCGGGUAUAGCAGACUGAAGUUUGGCUUAACGAUAUACCAAACCAACGACAGUAUCGACUGUCGUUUCAUCGGCUAAAUCUAAUUCUUUGUAACUACUCAACAAACCUUUGCCAACGUGGAAUGCGACACACUAAACAAAUCGGAUACUUAGGGCAUGUGCAAUGGGAGAGACCUUCAUGAAUCUCUUAACCAUUUUUAUAUUAUUAAGAUGUGUUUAAAGACCCAAUUAAAAAACUUGCAUUUUUAGAAAGUGCAAUGGGAGAAAUCCAAUUAGAUUUCUAAAAAAAGUUUAUAAUAAUAAUUUAUUUUAAAGAAGGAUUUAUAAUAAAAACUUUUAUUAAUACAGACUUAAUACAAAACAUUAAUACAAACUUUUAUAAAAAACUUAUAAUAAUAAUUUUAUUAAUACAGACUUAAUACAAAAACAUUAAUACAAACUUUUAUAAAAAACUUAUAAUAAUAAUUUUAUUAAUACAGACUUAAUAAAAAAGCAUUACAACAAAUAAAACAUACAUUAUUACAUAAAUUUUCAGUUUUUAUUUUAUUAAACUGUAUAUUACAUGAAAGAAUUAGGGGAAAAAUUCUUUUAUUUCACCAUUUGUAAAAAUACAAAGAGUGUAGAAGUUUAAUGUAAUAAUGUUUUUGAAACCAGAAAAAAGGCAAUCAAGCCUGAGGAGAAGACAAAUGUUUUCAGAACAUAGCUCUCCAUGAAUACCAAACUGAAACCAAAGUGGAGAAACACCAAGAAACACUUAACGAAUCAAGAAGAACUUGUACCGGCACAAAAUGAAGCAGGACCGGUUUAGCUUCUGCAGGAACUUUUCCCGCAAGUUCAGGGGCUUUCAAGAGAUGUACAUUGGCAACAGAUGCAAUCUCAAACACUACAUUGCACAGUCUUUCUCUUGAGCUCAUAUCCAGAAGGAUAUCUGAUCGUCCUCCUUGUUUCACAAACAACCCGUGUUUCUCAGUGAGAUUCGCAGGAUGUAACGGUAACGAUUUCAGUAGCAAGACAAGACCACUGGCUUUACCGAUGUGUGAAGCUGCAUGAUCCGCUGCUGUUGAUCCUCAACUUCUCUUUGAGCAUCACGGAUUCUAGCUUCAACUGAGCGUUUUAGCCAAGGUUUACUGAUGUUGUGCUCUGAUAUGGCCCAAGACAGAGCUUGUGCAGUGGAGUGGUUUAUGGGUUUUUUGGUGUAGAGCUUGUCGAUUGUUUCUUGCCACCAAAGUAAACGCAUCAAGCCGAUUUUGGGAUCAGAUGCAACAUCCAUGGCUCUUGCGGUUUCCACGUUGAAAGCUCGGAGCGCAAAUGCGGCUUUACGCAUCUCGGGUGGGAGCUCAAGUAGACAGAGGUAGUGAUAAUAGUCAUAGUUUCGUACUUGUUCUCCUCUCCUGCAACCAUAUAAACCACAAAACAAAACAAAAGAUCAGUUGAUAUUGACAAUGGUUUACGUAAACAGUAACCAAAAAUCAACUAGAGCUGAUACUCCAACAAUCACCAUUCAAUUAUAAAAAAGUCGAUAAGUCUCACUAUUUCAUAGAUUCAUGAACAAAUAAAACUCAUGCAGGAAUUAUAACGAACACCUGGUGGACAAAGCACUCAGCAUUGGUAAUUAACAAAAAAAACGAUACCUCUAAACCUUUUUAUUCAACCAUAUCAUCGGAGACAUAGAAUCUAAACCCAAAAAUCUAAACAAAUUGACGAGACUCUUCGCUUACCUUCGCGAGGAAAACAAGGAUCUCGAAGCUUUAAUCCAUCCAUACUCGUCGAUUCCACCAAGUGGAUGAUGAGAAGACAUCGCCACCUCCGUCUGAAACACUCGGCGACGAAGAAUCCCGAUGGAAUCGAUGAGUCGCGGUUCGACGGGGAGAACGAAGAAAGGAGAGAAAAAAUUUUGUCGGGUAAAAAAAAAAAGAAUGAGGACCCAAAACAUAAUUUUUUUCUUCUUGUUUUUUUGACCAAUGAGUUUUUGACACGUGCAGCUCGAAAGACGUUUCUCCUAGCUCCAAAUUUAGAAACGUCUCUCAUUAUUUUUUGUGUUUUUCAUUUAAUUAAUUAGCCUAAAAAUGGGAGAGACGCUGCUUAAAUACUCCGUCGCACUUGCUCACUAAAACACACGUUUUUGCGUUGCGCGAGUCAAGAGCUUAAUGUCAAACUAUUUACAACUUAAUAACGUCAAAUUAAUGGCAUUUAAAGAAUUGGAAUAAUGUUAUACAUCGUAGACGCCAGUUACUUUAAUAUAACUUAUAGAUGUCAAAUGCAUGAAUAUUAAUUCUUACCUAACUAGUAACUGUAGUACUGCAUUGCUUAUCUUAUGAGGCACUUUUCAUCGUUUCACGUGGUUCACGUGAGAGAAAGCACUAAUUCAUCAGAUUGUUUCGUUGUGUUGGCCCAAUCCAUACUAUAAGCCCAAUCUUGAUUCAAAGUCUUGGGGGUUUAUAAUGCAUACCAUUUGAUUCAGUAAUGUUCGAAUUUAGGGUUGGUUCGAGUUUUCGUUAG